UACGUAGGGUGCGAGCGUUGUCCGGAAUUAUUGGGCGUAAAGAGCUCGUAGGCGGUCUGUCGCGUCGAAUGUGAAAACCCGGGGCUCAACUCCGGGCUUGCAUUCGAUACGGGCAGACUAGAGUUCGGUAGGGGAGACUGGAAUUCCUGGUGUAGCGGUGAAAUGCGUAGAGAUCAUGAGGAAGACCAGUGGCGAAGGCGGGUCUCUGGACAGUUCCUGACACUGAGGCACGAAGGCCAGGGGAGCAAACGGG
rnacentral:rRNA from 1 species